CGUUGAAUAAACUCCCAAAAUUUGUUUAUGCGUAUAAUUAAAUUAUCGCACUAUUUCUCUUUGAAACUCUAUUAUUUCGGACUUGGGAUAAUUUAUUCAUAAUUUGAAUUAUUCCAGAAAUUAAUUAAAAAACCCAUGAUUAAAUUAAAUCAUUCUUUACGAUUAAAUUAUCGGCACAACAUCUAAUCAUUCCUCCACCUUAUAUCUCCAAUUUAAUUAAGAACCCCACUUAAAAUAAAAGCCCCAAACUUAAAAUAAAACCUCCAUUUAAAAAAAAUGAGGCCCAAACAAAAGCCCAAAAACAAUAAAAGACAAAAGCCCAAAACCAACAAAAGACAAAAGCCCCAUUCUUACACCAUCUUACCUCCAUCUCUUUCUCCCUCUCUCUCACUACCGAUUUCCUCUUCUUCCCCAUUCUUCUCUCUUCUUUUUUUUUCUUUGAAAUCCGUCGCCCUCUCUUCUUCCUCCGUCGGAGUCGCCGCCGAAGUAAAGGGGUCUGCUGCCGCCUCGUCGAUCCUCACGCCGCAGCCUUCGUCGCUGGGAGCCGGAGUUGCCGUCGCAGCUGCUCGCCAGCCGCCGUUGCGGCGAGAAGGAAGGUCAGUCACCGCUCGCCGCUGCCCGCUGCCGGGAGACGCCGCCCGCCUGCUGCCGGUACCUUCCCUCCCCGGAAACACCCCGAACAAGCCCGGAACCACCCCGAAACGUCCCGCAAGACACUUUUUACUACAAAGUUGUGUUCUUUCGUGCUUUCGAUUAAAAGCGGCGAUGUCCGAUUGGUUUCAAAAAUUGAAUUGUUUGAACUAAACGUGGGAGGUGGAUGUAUGAGAUAAUGUAUGGACAAGAUGUUAAGACUCCAUGCCUUGGAAAAGAGUAGAGAUUAUACCUCAGUGAUUUCGAACUUGGUUGUGGUUGAAUCAAAAUGAAUUAAGUGAGGGAGAUGGAAGGUGAAGAAGUGGGGAAAAUGGGGAGUCUCCAUGGGGAAGGUAACCGGCCGAGAAGAAGAGAAGAGAAGAGAAGAGAAGAGAAGAGAAAAAGAAAAAAAAAAGUGUUGGGCUUACUCCCAUAUUCUUGGAAUGAUUUGGGCUUCCAAUUGAAUUUAAUUGAUUUGGGCUCAUUUUGCUGCAAGCCCAAUUUGUAUUAUUUUAAUUAUUUGUUAGUCUUUAGAUUGUUAUGGCCCAAAGUCAUUUUAUAUAAAUAUUUGGACUCCAAUUUUAUUUGAGAGGCCCAAAUAUAAAUAUACGUACUUUAUAUU